CUGAUAUCCUGAAUACCUGUAUUAUCUGACCUUGGACUGCAUUAUCGUUGUUGAACCUCUGCUGCCUGGAUUUUAACCAUUGGAUUGCCCGACUUUGCUUCUGCCUUGCCCCUAUUGGAUUGUUUGCAUCGGACUUUGCUUUAUUAUUUUUUCAGCAAAUACAAGUACUGCAACCUGAGUUUCAUACGAGUACACCUGAGAGACAAUAGGAGGCAAGUCUCCCAGCACAUACCAGGAGGAGGGGAAAGACGAGUUGUCAUAUGCCUUUUUAGUGCCCAGUCUGUGAGCCCAGCUCAUCCUACGCCAACUGAGGGCAAAGCACAGUCCCAUAACAGUGGGGAACACCACAGGGACUCCAUGACUAAUAAAUACAGGUUGGUCAUCAUGAUAGGUAGGAUUGAGGUAUGCAAACUCUUACCAGGCUCACCAUACAAUCCAGCUUUAAGCAACCUCAGG